CUGGAAAGGCCGACGAUACAGGGUGAUAGUCCCGUAGUUGACGACGUGUGUUCAGUGAAAUCGAGUAGGGCGGGACACGUGAUAUCCUGUCUGAAUAUGGGGGGACCAUCCUCCAAGGCUAAAUACUACUGACUGACCGAUAGUGAACCAGUACCGUGAGGGAAAGGCGAAAAGAACCCCUGUGAGGGGAGUGAAAUAGAACCUGAAACCGUGUACGUACAAGCAGUAGGAGCAGGCUUGUCCUGUGACUGCGUACCUUUUGUAUAAUGGGUCAGCGACUUAUAUUCAGUGGCAAGGUUAACCAUCUAGGGGAGCCGUAGGGAAACCGAGUCUUAACUGGGCGUUCAGUCUCUGGAUAUAGACCCGAAACCAGGUGAUCUAGCCAUGGGCAGGUUGAAGGUUGAGUAACAUCAACUGGAGGACCGAACCGACUAAUGUUGAAAAAUUAGCGGAUGACUUGUGGCUAGGGGUGAAAGGCCAAUCAAACCUGGAGAUAGCUGGUUCUCCCCGAAAGCUAUUUAGGUAGCGCCUCGGACGAAUACUACUGGGGGUAGAGCACUGUUAAGGCUAGGGGGUCAUCCCGACUUACCAACCCUUUGCAAACUCCGAAUACCAGUAAGUACUAUCCGGGAGACACACGGCGGGUGCUAACGUCCGUCGUGGAGAGGGAAACAACCCAGACCGCCAGCUAAGGUCCCAAAUUACUACUAAGUGGGAAACGAUGUGGGAAGGCUCAGACAGCCAGGAUGUUGGCUUAGAAGCAGCCAUCAUUUAAAGAAAGCGUAAUAGCUCACUGGUCGAGUCGGCCUGCGCGGAAGAUGUAACGGGGCUAAGUAGUAAACCGAAGCUGCGGCAAUGCACUUU
rnacentral:rRNA from 1 species